AUUGACCACCAAGGCAGUUGAAUAGAACGAUGUUUACCAUUAUGGAACCAUGAAGGAACUUCGUCAGCAUAUUUGGCUCGAACGGGUCUAAUUCCAGCUACCACAGUGAAGAGGGUGAACGAGUUUGGAUUUCCUGAUCGAGCUGUAAUCACCGUUCUAUUGGCUGCUUUUAGAAAAUCGGAUCUAUAUUUCAUGCAUCAACGACCUUUGGGCCAUACUUUUAUGCCGUAUUUAAUCAUGUAAAUAAUUAUUAAAUAGUGAAUAAUAAAAAAAAAACAAUAUA